UUGCCAGCCCGCUCAGAAACUUAAAGGAAUUGACGGGGGCCCGCACAAGCGGAGGAGCAUGUGGUUUAAUUCGAUGAUACGCGAGGAACCUUACCUGGGCUCGAACGUAAGAUGACUGUAGGUGAAAGCUUACAUCUCUUCGGAGCAUUUUACGAGGUGCUGCAUGGUUGUCGUCAGCUCGUGCCGUGAGGUGUCGGGUUAAGUCCCAUAACGAGCGCAACCCCUACCUUUAGUUGCCAUCGGGUUAAGCUGGGGACUCUAAAGGAACUGCCUACGCAAGUAGUGAGGAAGGCGGGGAUGACGUCAAAUCAGCACGGCCCUUACGUCCAGGGCUACACACGUGCUACAAUGGCCGAUACAGAGGGCAGCUACCUGGUGACAGGAUGCAAAUCUCCAAAGUCGGUCUCAGUUCGGAUCGGAGUCUGCAACCCGACUCCGUGAAGUUGGAUUCGCUAGUAAUCGCGCAUCAGCCAUGGCGCGGUGAAUACGUUCCCGGGCCUU
rnacentral:rRNA from 1 species